AAUUACGGAUAAUCACUCUGAUUAAGUUAUCCCAACGGUAUAAAAAUGUAUGGAAAGGAUUACAGGAGAGGUGGGACGACGACCAAGCUGUGCACGUGCGUACAAACCAUAGCAAAUGUCACAAUUUACUCGUGAUGAUAUCCACUGACUAUUACAAUUCCAGACGUUCCAGUAUGGUAGAUUUGAGUGUUUGACAUUGAAAAAAUCAACUAAAGCUGUUGAAAACAGACCGUUUUUAAGGGGUUGAAUAUAGGCAAUAUUCUAUAACCUUUGGUAA